rnacentral:rRNA from 1 species
GGGUCAGUAGGUUGGUCGCACCACCGGUACGUACUGGUCUCACUGAUUCCUCCUUCCUGAAGAACCGUAAUGCCAUUAAUUUGGUGUUGCGGGGAAACAGGACUGUUACUUUGAAAAAAUUAGAGUGUUUAAAGCAAGCUAACGCUUGAAUACAUUAGCAUGGAAUAAUGAAAUAGGACGACCGAUCCUAUUUUGUUGGCUUCUAGGAUUGACGUA